GGGGGGGGGAGGUGAGGGAAAGCCAUACACCGUUUUUUUUAAAAGCACAGCCCUCUCUCUCUCUUCCCCUCCAGUCUAGACAGAGCUGGAAGCCAGUUUUAUAGCUGGACAACAUUUCUGAUCGCGCUGGCUGCAGCUACCCCGGGCCUAGCACGCAUGCCGGAGGCGUCUCAGGCCUCCCCCCGCGGCCGGCUGGAAGAGCUGAAACCCGUUCAAACCUUUUUUCAGCUUUUCUGGGGGAUGCUGGGGUGCUGGUGAGGGGCUCUGCCCGUGCCCCGGACCAGCGGCUGCCAGGGGCCCUUCGGCGGCGACCCCCGGAGGGGAAGGGGGGGCUGCUUCGUGUUCGCCUUUGUUCCAAGCCCCAGUAACCUCGGGCAUCUCUAUGCCCCCCACCCAUGGGGCCCAGCGUGCUGGAAGGGGCUUUUUCCCCGGGCCUUGCUACCCCAGAAUUUAGGAUGCGCUGCUGGGCAGCUCCCUCCGGCCAGUGUGCCCCCCUCUCCUCCAGCAAAACCAACUGGGAGAGACCCCGAGGGAACCCCCGAGGGGAAUUCACCCCCUCGGGAGGGGAAGGCAGAGGCAAUGGGGCGCCGUGUGCCGUCGGACAGCCCCCCGACCCCCCCCCCCCGACGGCCCGCUGCUCCCGGCUGCCUCCCUCCGGCUUCCCCCGCUCUGCCCUCGGCGGUCCCCCCGGCCUGUCAUCCCCGGCCCCAAAGCUUUGGUUGGAAACGCGUUUCCAUCCGGACUUAAGACGAUGAAAGAUGAGGAAUUCGCCCUAUGCAUUUAAAACCUUGCUCUUAAUAAGCAGGGUGUGCGGAAGCGCACGCCCGGCCUGUUUAAGGAAGACAGACACAUAAAACACCCCCGAGCUGCUGGGUAUAAACCUGCUCUCGGGGUCGGCUGCCUGCUCCUGAGGAUCAGUAGGGCUGCCAGAGCGGGGACACGCUCAGCAGCAUCUCCGCCUGUGCCACUUUGCCUCCCUCCAAAACCAAAGCCGUCGUUCCGGGGACACGCUCCCGAUUUCAGGCCGGCGACAGAGAGACCCCCCACACCCCACACCCCCCGAAAUCACGGCGUCCUGUUUCCUACGGGGACAUUUCCCCCCGCGGGGUAAUGGCGAGAAAUCAGAGCGGAGCACCGCCUCGCUCCCCCCGGCGGGCUGCGGGAGCGCACUCCGAAGGAGCCCGGCCUUGCCGUAGCGCUGCUAGCGCUGCUCGCGAAAUCCCUCAGUUAGAUGGCCAGAACGUCUUUGCCGCGUUCUUGGAUUUUUCCUUCAUCGCGACUACUGCAAGGCGAAGAUGACACUGGCAUAUUAGACCCGAUUCUUCCGAAUUGCAGGGGGCAUGGAUUUCGGCUUCAGAGUUAGUAUUUUCGUUUAAGAAAGGGAGGGAGGGAAUUCACCCAAAUCAAAUCAACUUAAAAAAUAAAAAUAAAAAGGGGGAGAAAAAAAAAAAAAGGAGAAAAAAAAACAAAAACAAAACAAAAACACCAAACCAACCAAACAAAAACCACCACCAACAGAAGUGGUGCGAGGAGGGGGAAGGCGAUCUCUGAGCCGCAAGCCCAGCAGGCAGAGCUGAUCGGGAGAAGGCAGUCCUGCUCUGCCCCUGAGCUAUCUAGAGCUUCAAAACCGAGACUGAGAGACCUACACGAGCCACGGUCCUCUGCCUGCAGCCGGGAUCGGAUCUUCUCCUCGCCGGGGAGCAAAGAGCACCGGCUUCCCCUCACCGAGGGAUUUCUUCUCCUCGAGCCUUCCCCGUCCAAAACCAAUAAUAAGAAAAUAUCAAAAGCAGAGCGGCCGCGCGUGAAAUCAUAGGGCUAGGCGGGCUGGACCGUUUUCGGACGCUAUUUUUGUCUCUUAAAAAAAAAAAAAAAAAAAAGAUAAAAUGGAAAAAAAAAAAAAAAAAGUAGAGAGAGAGGAAAGAAAAGCCUGCGCUGCUCGUUUAUAAGAGAAGCUCUGGUCCCGGUGCGGGGGAGCCGGGAGGGCAGCCCCCGGCUAAACGCGAGCCGCAGCGGCCGGAAGAGGGAGCCGCUGGCCGCAGCUCUGGCAGAUCGCAGGCUCGCAUUUCCCUCCCGGCCAGGGCAGCUCUCGGCGGCGGGAGGGCCCCUGCCCCUUCCCCUGCCCCUGCCCGGCCCCGGGGGGUGGCUUCAGCGGCGGGGGGCGGCGGGCUGCCCGCGGGGCUGGGGGCGCGGGGGGCGCCCGGCUCCGAGCGCGGCUCUCAUGCGGAGCCGCCCGGGGGGCUCCGUGCUCCUCGGGACCUGCGCCCGCUGCGGCGUCGCCUCUGUCUUCCCAAACAAGUCCGAGCGCUGGCAAAGGCUGCCGGUGGAUUUCUUUGCUUAGUUGUCUCGGCUUUUCUCCUCUUUCAAGAAAUUUGCAAAAUCGGGGUUUGGUUUUCUUUCUGGUUUUGUUUUCUUUCUCUUUUUUUUUUUUUUUUCUUCCUUUUUUUUUUUUUUUUUUUUUUUUUCUUUUUAAAAAUUGUCACGUUAUUUAAAGAGCUGGUGCAAAGCGCUGGCUCUUUCGCACACGCAUGCCUUUCCGAGGAAGAAGGAGGGUUCGCUACGGUCACCUCCCGCGAGGAGCAGCGAUCCUCACCAUGCGGCCAGGCUCCAAGGGGCAGAAGGAGCUCUGAAGUGGACCCCUCGGUUUAAUUCUUUCGCAAAGGCUUGAAGAAAGCCAGGAGAGCCUCAAGAGGGGAGGGGAUAAUGUAUCCGUGACGUGUCCUCCCGCGCAGCGCCCUCCGAGGAACCCAAAUACAGAGGAGCCAGAAAAGAGCCGCAAUUAGCACUUGCGAGGGGACGGGAGGCCGGCCCGGGGGGAGCCGGGGGCGGGGGGCGUUUGCUCGCCCCGACCUCCCCGAGCGGCCCCCUGGCCCCAGACCCUACCGCCGGGGGGGGCCCUCGCCGCCCUCCCCACGCGGGAGCGGGGCCGCGCACGGGCACGCGUGGGGACCGCGACACUCGCGGGGCCUCGUUUACCCAGGCAGUGCUGUUUAUCCACCGGGUGAAAGGAGGAAAACGCACGCACCUAAGUGCACAUGAAUCAUAUAUGUAGCACGUCCGCGACAUACAUACAUCAUAUACACAGGGCACGCGUUGCACUCUCAGCCCCCGACGUGACUCCCACCCGCUUGCCCGUGCUUAGGGCUUCACCCAGCUGCCGCCUGCCUUUCCCGGGGAGCUGUAGGACCCCCACCCCGAUCCCCCCGCGGGGAAUGGACCCCUUUGGGUGGCUGUGGGCACGAAACCAACCGCGGGGAGGGACUCAGACGGGCCGCCGACGGGAUUCCCCCGGUCCCGGCCAGACGGGAGCCCGGUGACCCCAGCCUCACAUCCCUACCCCUCGCAGCUCCCCGGGGAAGCGGCACCCAGGGAUCCUUGCAAAAUUGAGGGGAAAGCCCCCGGUGCCACCAACCUGGCCGAGUUUGCCCCUUUGGGGAUGGGAAAUGGGGGGCAAAGCCCGGGCACAUCCGCCAGGCCGCCCCGACGCCCUUUGCCCAGCACAGCCCCCUCGCCACGCGUGUACCCCGGGGUUUGGCAGCCGGGGAGAGCUGAGGAGAUGGGGGAAAAGUUUUCUGCCCCGCUGCCCCUCCAGGGAGGGAGUAGGCUAGAGCUGGCUUUCGGGCCGAGAAAACUUUAGAAAAAAAAAAAAGAAAAAAAAAAAAAAAGAAAAAAAAAAAAA